UCCUUCUGAACUGAAGCAACGUACAAUUAAGGAAUCACCUGAAGCACUCAGCCAAAAUCUAUCAAAGCUCAACCUGGAAGCGGCUUAACUAGAGAGAUGUCUAUGAUCUUUCCCUGGAGAUGUUGCAGCGGUCUGACUUAGGAUCAUAAUUAGUUUGUUGGUUAAAGGAGUAUAUAUACAUUGCAGUACAACAUGAUUAGUGUAAUCGUUUAGGAAAGUUUGCAUUUGUCAUUUCAAUACUA